rnacentral:lncRNA from 1 species
GCAAUACAACAGCCACCCUUCCUUUAAACAGGCAAUACAACAGCCACUCUUCCUUUCAGAACAGGCAAUACAACAGCCACUCUUCCUUUCAGAACAGGCAAUACAACAGCCACUCUUCCUUUCAGAACAGGCGAUACAACAGCCACUCUUCCUUUCAGAACAGGCAAUACAACAGCCACUCUUCCUUUCAGAACAGGCAAUAAAGCAGCCACUCUUCCUUUUUGAACAGGCAAUAAAGCAGCCACUCUUCCUUUCAGAACAGGCAAUAAAGCAGCCACUCUACCUUUUUGAACAGGCAAUAAAGCAGCCACUCUUCCUUUCAGAACAGGAAAUACAACAGCCACUUGACCUGUAAAGGUAUUUCCGCUUGGCGAAGUCAAAUAUGAUGAUAGCUACUGAUUAGUUUUUUUUUACGGCGGUAUAUCUAAGGUUUUCCAGCUUGCAGGUAUGUUCUGUUCUUUGCCUGUUUAAGCAGCAGAAAGGGACCGGCAUACGUAGCUAAUCCUCUCUCUGUUUCUAGAAACCCACAAGGCAUCCAUAAGAUAACUCCACCACCUUUUCCAUCUGCAGGCUUCUUGGUGAUGGCUGCCCAUGUCAGACCACGCUCCUUCAUCUCCUUGGGACAGAGGGACAGGGGGACAGGAGGACAGAGGGACAGAGGGACAGGGGGACAGAGGGACAGGGGGACAGAGGGACAGAGGGACAGGGGGACAGGAGGACAGAGGGACAGAGGGACAGAGGGACAGGCCUAUUGGACAUGGUCAUGUAAGGGCAAGAGGCAGGAGUCAGAUGUUUCAAUAGGUUGUUCUGACAGACUCACACCAGUUUGUUUGGCCCAACAGCCCCUGAAACAGCUGCAAGAGGCGCCCCAGGGUUUCUUUGAGAGAAGUGCUCCCCAGGGCUCUCUGUCUCUCCGCCUGUGAGGUUUGGACACGGAGCAGCCAACUAAUGCUGAGCUCAGUUUUCAAUUCUCCGUGUUCAGGCCGGGGUUCCCAAUAAGAGUUUAGGUUGGACCGAGACAAGGGAAGUGCUGCCAGUAGAGCUGUGGGGAUGCAGGACGGGACAGAGAGCCCUUGUAGUGGAUCAGUGGGACUUGGGUCUGACUCAAGACAGCUGCCUUUACUGGGACACUCAGUCCCAAAUCUGUGUGAGCUGCAGGGAAGUCACAUUGUGGUGGAGACUGUUACAGUAGACUGUUCCUAAAGCUAACUGGAGACUGUUACUAAAGCUAACUGGAGACUGUUCCUAAAGCUAACUGGAGACUGUUCCUAAAGCUAACUGGAGACUGUUCCUAAAGCUAACUGGAGACUGUUCCUAAAGCUAACUGGAGACUGUUCCUAAAGCUAACUGGUGACUGUUACUAAAGCUAACUGGAGACUGUUACUAAAGCUAACUGGAGACUGUUACUAAAGCUAACUGGAGACUGUUCCUAAAGCUAACUGGUGACUGUUACUAAUGCUAACUGGAGACUGUUACUAAAGCUAACUGGAGACUGUUCCUAAAGCUAACUGGAGACUGUUCCUAAAGCUAACUGGAGACUGUUACUAAAGCUAACUGGAGACUGUUCCUAAAGCUAACUGGAGACUGUUACUAAAGCUAACUGGAGACUGUUCCUAAAGCUAACUGGAGACUGUUCCUAAAGCUAACUGGAGACUGUUCCUAAAGCUAACUGGAGACUGUUCCUAAAGCUAACUGGAGACUGUUCCUAAAGCUAACUGGUGACUGUUCCUAAAGCUAACUGGAGACUGUUACUAAAGCUAACUGGAGACUGUUCCUAAAGCUAACUGGAGACUGUUACUAAAGCUAACUGGAGACUGUUCCUAAAGCUAACUGGAGACUGUUACUAAAGCUAACUGGAGACUGUUCCUAAAGCUAACUGGAGACUGUUCCUAAAGCUAACUGGAGACUGUUCCUAAAGCUAACUGGAGACUGUUCCUAAAGCUAACUGGUGACUGUUACUAAAGCUAACUGGAGACUGUUCCUGAAGCUAACUGGAGACUGUUACUAAAGCUAACUGGAGACUGUUCCUAAAGCUAACUGGUGACUGUUACUAAAGCUAACUGGUGACUGUUACUAAAGCUAACUGGAGACUGUUCCUAAAGCUAACUGGAGACUGUUCCUAAAGCUAACUGGAGACUGUUCCUAAAGCUAACUGGUGACUGUUACUAAUGCUAACUGGAGACUGUUCCUAAAGCUAACUGGAGACUGUUCCUAAAGCUAACUGGUGACUGUUCCUAAAGCUAACUGGAGACUGUUCCUAAAGCUAACUGGAGACUGUUACUAAAGCUAACUGGAGACUGUUCCUAAAGCUAACUGGUGACUGUUACUAAAGCUAACUGGAGACUGUCUCCUACUACAGUAGGAGUGCUGAUCUAGGAUGAAGUCCCCCCCCCCUCCCUGUCUAUAGAAACUUACUCAUUAUGAUCGGCCUUAGAUAAACACUUCCACUAUGAGACACGUUUUGAAUACAGGCCCAGAUCUACAAUUCAGGUUAAUAGCCAAUAAACUGUUGAGUAUGAACAAACAGUCUUGUUAAAUUUACCAUUAAAACAAACAGCUUACCAGAUAGUGAUCUGUCGAGGCCUGCCUGAGAGACAGAUAUGGUCAGGUUACCAGAUAGCUUUAGUUAGCUUUAGUAACAGUCACCAUGGACCUGUAGCUGUAAUGUUGUCUCGGUCCCCCCUGUACUGAGAACAACACUUUAGUGACAAUCUCCACCACCUUGUCAGUCUGUCUUAAAUGGUACCAUUUUCUUGCAGUAGUGCCACCUUUUGGGCCUUGGCCAAAGGUUUAGUGUAAUAUAACAGGAAUAAGGUAUCAUUUGGAACACAAUCUGUCGAGGCCUGUCUAUGUGAUAUGAUCAGGUUGCCAGAUAGUGAUCUGUCGAGGCCUGUCUAUGUGAUAUGAUCAGGUUGCCAGAUAGUGAUCUGUCGAGGCCUGUCUGUAUGAUACGAUCAGGUUGCCAGAUAGUGAUCUGUCGAGGUCUGUCUAUAUGAUAUGAUCAGGUUGCCAGAUAGUGAUCUGGCGAGGCCUGUCUAUAUGAUAUGAUCAGGUUGCCAGAUAGUGAUCUGGCGAGGCCUGUCUAUAUGAUACGAUCAGGUUGCCAGAUAGUGAUCUGUCGAG